rnacentral:rRNA from 1 species
UACGGAGGGAGCUAGCGUUGUUCGGAAUUACUGGGCGUAAAGCGCACGUAGGCGGCUUUGUAAGUUAGAGGUGAAAGCCCGGGGCUCAACUCCGGAAUUGCCUUUUAGACUGCAUCGCUUGAAUCAUGGAGAGGUCAGUGGAAUUCCGAGUGUAGAGGUGAAAUUCGUAGAUAUUCGGAAGAACACCAGUGGCGAAGGCGGCUGACUGGACAUGUAUUGACGCUGAGGUGCGAAAGCGUGGGGAGCAAACAGG